CCCAGGCCUUGUACACACCGCCCGUCACAUCAUGAAAGCCGUUUGUACCCGAAGUCGCCCCUCAAAAGGUGCCGAAGGUAUGGAUGGUGAUUGGGAUG
rnacentral:rRNA from 1 species